rnacentral:rRNA from 1 species
UACGUAGGGGGCAAGCGUUGUCCGGAUUUAUUGGGCGUAAAGAGCGUGUAGGCGGCUAGAUAGGUCCGUUGUGAAAACUCGAGGCUCAACCUCGAGACGCCGAUGGAAACCAUCCAGCUAGAGUCCGGAAGAGGAGAGUGGAAUUCCUGGUGUAGCGGUGAAAUGCGCAGAUAUCAGGAAGAACACCCGUGGCGAAAGCGGCUCUCUGGGACGGUACUGACGCUGAGACGCGAAAGCGUGGGGAGCGAACAGG